rnacentral:rRNA from 1 species
CCUACGGGGGGCAGCAGUGGGGAAUAUUGCACAAUGGGGGAAACCCUGAUGCAGCAACGCCGCGUGAGUGAUGACGGUCCUCUGGUUGUAAAGCUCUGUCUUCAGGGACGAUAAUCACGGCACCCGUGGACGAAGCCACGGUUAACUCCGUGUCAGCAGCCGCGGUCACCCGUCGGUGGCGAGCGUUGUUCCGAUUUAUUGGGGGUAAAGGGGGCGUAGGCGGGUUUUUAAGUGAGGUGUGAAAUUGUCGGGGUCAACUUGAGGGCUGCAUUUCAAACUGGGGGUCUAGAGUGCAGGAGAGGAGAAUGGAAUUCCUAGUGUAGCGGUGAAAUGCGUAGAGAUUAGGAAGAACACCAGUGGCGAAGGCGAUUCACUGGACUGUAACUGACGCUGAGGCUCGAAAGCGUGGGGAGCAAACAGGAUUAGAUACCCCUGUAGUC